UACUUACUUUGUUCCAUCAUUUAGUAUAUUAUAUUUUUUUAUACGUAACAACGAAAUUUGUUAUUGUUCCUCAUUUGUAUUAUUUGGAUUGAAUCCUUGAUUUUUGACUCUAUAUCACGGAAUAUUCUAAUAAUUGUCAAGCCAAUAUUGUCGAGACUGGAAUUAAAGAAAGCUUAUCUUUUUUAUAAUGCCGGCCUAUUGUUGUGUACCAAAUUGUCGCAGUGGAUAUAAAAAUGCACAAAGGACCCUACUGUGUCUUUAUAUUCGUUCCCUUAUGAUAAAUGCUGUUAUAGUUACUUCUGACCUCGAUAAUCAUUGCCUCUGUACUGUAGAAUACAUAAAUUCCUCCAUAUCUACGGAACCAUCGUAUGCUUCUACAUGUAUGAACUAUGGAGUAGCAUAAAACGACUGAAAACUUUAAGAUCCAGUGAGGAACAGAGAGAGUUAGUUACCAUCAACUACUCCUUCAUUGAAGGUUGCUAAGUCAAGUCAACUCUUCUUCGUCUCCUAUUUGAGGAGUGGGAAACAAAGUCUGAAUCCAGCUCUUAAUCAGGAUAGGUGGGUGAUAACUAAAAAAAAUUUCAAACUCAUGGGGACAAGGGUUCCCAAUUUCAUUUAUUUAUAGUGGGUCGGGUUAAAACAUAGAAAAAAAAGCUUUUUACAAUCACAUCCCAAAAUUUUAAUGGGACCCAACUGAAUUCACUUUAAGGCUCAUCCCUGAUUAUUGAUUUCUUUAAUACUUGUGAGUAUCUUUUGUGAUUGGAAAAAAAGUGGAAGAAGAUUUUUUUACUGCCGUAAUUAAAGAGUAUUAAAGAAUGAAUACUGAGAAAUUUAUGUAUAUAUUUUUAUACUUUCAGAAGAAAUUUGAAGCAAGUCCUAUCCAUAAUAUAUUCUCAAUUCUUAUUUUUUUUUUAUUAUCACUAAUAGUGGUGCGGUUGUGGGUGUAAAACUCCAAAAAAUCCUGGAAAAACAAGAUCCCAACUCAUUUUUUCACAAAAAAAGGAUCUUGAUCAGGGGGAAAAAAUGUUAUGUAACACCUUUAAAAAAAUCUUGGGUCUACGAUUUAAAUUUGGAUCUACCUUGAGAAGUAACACAAAAAAUAUUUUAUUCUAUGAUUAAAUAUUAUAAAUAUAUUUUUCCUUACAAAAGUAACUAAUUCUAACAAGUAAAAACAAUUAACAAAUAACAUUUACAAGAUGUACAUCUCUCACAAUUCCUCAUAAAAUUUUACCAUCAUUUUUCAAAUAUAUAGUUUAAGUUACACUACUUUUAAUUUUAUGAUUUUUUGUCCAAUAUUGAGUUUUGGGUGAUUUAUUAAAGGAGAAAUAUUUGUUCAAGUCAAUAAAAAUAUGUUAUUAGAAAAAAUACCGAUUUUCUCAAAAUUUACAAUUCAACUACUCUCAUAUCGGAAAUUUAAUACAUUGAUUAUAUUAAAACUGAUAAUAAAAGUUUUAAAAUCGAUUUGAAAUCUC
rnacentral:lncRNA from 1 species